AGGUGGCUCAGCAGUGCCCUGAGCUGAGGAACCUCUUGUCAAUGCUUCCUCUUCUCUCCGUCAUGCAUGCAAAGCUCACACUUGGAAAUGCGAGAUCAAAUGGGGAGGUGCGUUUCAGGAUGGGGCCGGUUCAACAGUUGGAGAAGAGGUGGAACAAGUAAACAGUUUCCUGUCUAGGGCGGCCAUCACAACGAAGUACAUGUCUAAAGCAGGGCGAACAGACAUGCUGACCCUCCUGGCUUUGGGCUGGAACAAAAGGAAAGUGGAACAACUGGGCCGCACUUUGAGCCAGCGAUAUCUAAAGAUCAUAAGGAUCCUUAGAGAACAAGUGGAGAGCCUGAAUGCGAGCAGAAAUGAGCUGGGUGUGGAUGACGACACACUGCAGCAAUGGGCUGAAGAAAGUGAUCAAACUGAUGGCAGCCUUGGAGCGUUGCAGGCACGAAUAGAGGAGCUUGUCGUCAUCAUCAGAGUGCGAACACAAAGUCUUUACAGACAAAAUGAUAGCAACAAGAGGCGACACAGAAUUCGCAAGGUCAUCUUAGUUGAGAAGAAACGCUUGGCGGCUGCUGUUGACGACUACAACAAGCUCGCUGAACCAACAAAGCAAAUCGUAUCCAGUGAUGCCCUCAUGCAGAGCGACGUUUGGCCCUGGCAGAGCACAAGUGAACCUGCUGCUGACCUCCGGACAAAGAGAAAGGUCUUUGAGAAGGUGAUGGCUGUGAGGCGCCUGAGAGAGGAGGAGAUGAUGCUCUGCAGGGAGAUGCAGCAUCACUGGACAGUGUUGCGAAUGCGUUCUGUGGUGUUGGGGACAAUCUCCUCAGACUCCUCCUUUGUUGGCAUGUCGGAGGAUGCACAGAAGGGACUCUGUAGCCUGGUUUUAAAAAAACAAAGUGAACUGAAAGCUGAAAUGCUCAAAGUAAAGGACGUGUACAAGAGAAUCCUCAGCCACCAACCACUCCUGGAAAUGGACUCGGAGGAGGAGGAGGACAUUCCAGACGAUGCCACUGAGAGUGAUUUGAGCACUUCUGAUGAAGACUGAUUGUGUCAUCAUUGAUGUUAUGUUUGGUAAAAUAAAAAGUUAAUCACAUCUCUGUUCAAUGUGAUUUUUCAACAGACAUUUUACAUUUUGAGAAGAAAAAUGGAAUUUCCUUGGUGCAGUUGUUUACCCUGAAUCAUUAUUUCCCAUCUAAUUUAAUGACUAGUGUACAUGUUCAGAUACGAUAACAUAAUUUAAUUUAUGGGAUGCUUUCUGGGCUGCUCAAAUUAUCACAAAAU
ensembl:lncRNA